ACUCCUACGGGAGGCAGCAGUAGGGAAUCUUCCACAAUGGACGAAAGUCUGAUGGAGCAACGCCGCGUGAGUGAAGAAGGGUUUCGGCUCGUAAAACUCUGUUGUUAAAGAAAGAACAUAUCUGAGAGUAACUGUUCAGGUAUUGACGGUAUUUAACCAGAAAGCCACGGCUAACUACGUGCCAGCAGCCGCGGUAAUACGUAGGUGGCAAGCGUUGUCCGGAUUUAUUGGGGCGUAAAGCGAGCGCAGGCGGUUUUUAAGUCUGAUGUGAAAGCCUUCGGCUCAACCGAAGAAGUGCAUCGGAAACUGGGAAACUUGAGUGCAGAAGAGGACAGUGGAACUCCAUGUGUAGCGGUGAAAUGCGUAGAUAUAUGGAAGAACACCAGUGGCGAAGGCGGCUGUCUGGUCUGUAACUGACGCUGAGGCUCGAAAGUAUGGGUAGCAAACAGGAUUAGAUACCCUGGUAGGAUAGCG
rnacentral:rRNA from 1 species